AGCACAGGUAGGAGCCGAGGGCCACGUCCAA
rnacentral:piRNA from 1 species